AUGAAUAGGAGGUGCCACCACGUUCAGAACGUUGUGAAUUGUAUUGCUUAAUGUGGGAAGGGCCUUACUCCUUAUUCCAUUGCUCAAAUCUCCUAAAAGACAUUUGUUAGCAAAAGGAACUCUUUCUUCCAAAAGAGAAAUUCUACUUACCAAGCUUGUUCAAGUCCACCAUAUUACGCACGUUAAUAUCCCAGUUGGCAUUCUCUUCAAACCCUUUUAUGGAGCGAACUCGUUGUUCAGCUGAUCGAACAGCAGCGGACGCAGUGGACCAAAACCCACCAAGCCAGUUGCUCUGUUUGGGUGUUUCUACAUGUUCUUGGAACUCCUGGGACUUGUUGAUUUCGUUAACCGUUUUUGGAGUAGCGGAUUCUGUAUUUUUAUUUAUAGUUGUCUGAGCCGCUUGAGACGGUUGAUUUGAUGCAUCAUGUUGCUGACGUUCAUUCGAGGUAGCUGCGACAGAUUCAUUUUCCUCGUUGGCCUCUUCUAUAGGAUUUUUCUCAUUCUUUUCUUCGUCAUUCUCAAGCUGAUCUAAAAAUUCCAGCAGUUCUUUUUCGUCCUGCACUUCAGAUGGGGCACCAAUUUUGGAGUCGUCGUUGUUGAACUCUUUGGAAGUGGGAUCUGCUUCCAUGCCAAGUUGAUCCAAUGAUGCCAUUAAUGUUUCGACAUCAUCAGUUUGCUCUUUGGUCUCUGCCAUACUGUUUAGCAGGAAUAUCACACGGUCUUGUCUAGUUGAUGAGUUUCGUAGGCUGAAAAA